UGGACUAUGAUGAGGGUGAGGUGGGA
rnacentral:piRNA from 1 species